GACGAACGCUGGCGGCGUGCCUAAUACAUGCAAGUAGAACGCACAGUUUAUACCGUAGCUUGCUACACCAUAGACUGUGAGUUGCGAACGGGUGAGUAACGCGUAGUUAACCUGCCUGGUAGCGGGGGAUAACUAUUGGAAACGAUAGCUAAUACCGCAUAAUAUUGAUUAUUGCAUGAUAAUUUAUUGAAAGAUGCUAUUGCAUCACUACCAGAUGGACCUGCGUUGUAUUAGCUAGUAGGUGAGGUAACGGCUCACCUAGGCGACGAUACAUAGCCGAACGGGGGGGGUGAUAGCCGACCUGGGGAGGGGACCGGGCACAAGCGUACUAAGGGACGACGCAGACGGCAACUUUAGGCAACGGUGGAAAAUUUGACAGAGAAGGCCGGAGUGAGUGAAAACGGUUUCGGAUCGUAAAGCUCUGUUGUAAGAGAAGAACGGGUGUGAGAGUGGAAAGUUCACACUGUGACGGUAUCUUACAAGAAAGGGACGGCUAACUACGUG
rnacentral:rRNA from 1 species